rnacentral:rRNA from 1 species
CCUACGGGUGACAGCAGUGGGGAAUAUUGCUCAAUGGAGGAAACCCUGAAGCAGCGACGCCGCGUGAGUGAAGACGUAUCUAGGUAUGUAAAGCUCUAUCUGUAGGGGAGAAAAACGACGGUACCUGACCAAGAAGCAUCUGCUAACUACGUGCCAGCAGCCGCGGUAAUACGGAGGGGGCGAGCGUUAUCCGGAUUUACUGGGUGUAAAGGGAGUGUAGAGGGGGCGUCAAGUCGGAAGUGAAAGGAAGGGGCUUAACCCUCGAACUGCAUUGGAAACUGGCAGGCUAGAGUGCUGUAGAGGUAAGUGGAAUUCCUGGUGUAGCGGUGAAAUGCGUAGAUAUUACGAGGAACCCCGGUUGCGAAGGCAGCUUACUGGACAGUAACUGACGUUGAGGCUCGAAAGUGUGGGUAGCAAACAGGAUUAGAUACCCUUGUAGUC